CCCCCAAGUGUCCGUUAAGUGGAAAAGGAUGUGGAGAUGCACAGACAACUAGGAGGUUGGCUUAGAAGCAGCCAUCCUUUAAAGAGUGCGUAAUAGCUCACUAGUCGAGUGACUCUGCGCCGAAAAUGUACCGGGGCUAAACGGACCGCCGAAGCUGCGGAUUGACUUUAGAGUCAGUGGUAGGAGAGCGUUCUAACAGCGGUGAAGCAGUACCGGAAGGAGCUGUGGAGCGGUUAGAAGUGAGAAUGCCGGUGUGAGUAGCGAAAGAUAGGUGAGAAUCCUAUCCAUCGAAAGCCUAAGGUUUCCAGGGGAAGGCUCGUCCGCCCUGGGUAAGUCGGGACCUAAGGUGAGGCCGAAAGGCGUAGCCGAUGGACAACAGGUUGAUAUUCCUGUACCACUUAUUAAACUGAUGGAGUGACGGAGAAGGCUAAGUUGAGCGUGUUAAUGGAUUCACGUGUAAGCAGUGAGGUGGUCAUGUAGGCAAAUCCGCAUGGCAUAACAUUGAGCUGUGAUGCCGAAGCCGUAUGGCGAAGUCAACUGAUGUCACGCUUCCAAGAAAAGCUUCUAGGGUUAAUUUAGUAAGUGCCCGUACCGAUAACCGACACAGGUAGGCGAGGAGAGAAUCCUAAGAUGAGCGAGAGAACUCUUGUUAAGGAACUCGGCAAAAUGACCCCGUAACUUCGGGAGAAGGGGUGCUUGUGAAAGCAAGCCGCAGUGAAUAGGCCCAGGCGACUGUUUAUCAAAAACACAGGUCUCUGCUAAACCGCAAGGUGAUGUAUAGGGGCUGACGCCUGCCCGGUGCUGGAAGGUUAAGAGGAGAGGUUAGCGCAAGCGAAGCUUUGAAUUGAAGCCCCAGUAAACGGCGGCCGUAACUAUAACGGUCCUAAGGUAGCGAAAUUCCUUGUCGGGUAAGUUCCGACCCGCACGAAAGGCGUAACGAUCUGGGCGCUGUCUCAACAAGAGACUCGGUGAAAUCAUAGUACCUGUGAAGAUGCAGGUUACCCGCGACAGGACGGAAAGACCCCGUGGAGCUUUACUGUAGCUUGAUAUUGAGCACUGGUGACACAUGUACAGGAUAGGUAGGAGACGAAGAAGCCAGGACGCCAGUCUUGGUGGAGUCGCUGUUGGGAUACUACCCUUGUGUUACUGGGGUUCUAACCCGUGGCCAUGAUCUGGUCAGGGAACAGUGUCAGGUGGGCAGUUUGACUGGGGCGGUCGCCUCCCAAAGAGUAACGGAGGCGCCCAAAGGUUCCCUCAGAAUGGUUGGAAAUCAUUCGAAGAGUGUAAAGGCAGAAGGGAGCUUGACUGCGAGACCUACAAGUCGAGCAGGGACGAAAGUCGGGCUUAGUGAUCCGGCGGUACCGAAUGGAAGGGCCGUCGCUCAACGGAUAAAAGCUACCCCGGGGAUAACAGGCUGAUCUCCCCCAAGAGUUCACAUCGACGGGGAGGUUUGGCACCUCGAUGUCGGCUCAUCGCAUCCUGGGGCUGUAGUCGGUCCCAAGGGUUGGGCUGUUCGCCCAUUAAAGCGGUACGCGAGCUGGGUUCAGAACGUCGUGAGACAGUUCGGUCCCUAUCCGUCGUGGGCGUAGGAAAUUUGAGAGGAGCUGUCCUUAGUACGAGAGGACCGGGAUGGACACACCGCUGGUGUACCAGUUGUUCUGCCAGGAGCAUAGCUGGGUAGCUACGUGUGGACGGGAUAAACGCUGAAAGCAUCUAAGCGUGAAGCCCCCCUCAAGAUGAGAUUUCCCAUUCGAAAGAAGUAAGAUCCCUUGAAGACGACAAGGUAGAUAGGUCAGAAGUGGAAGUGUGGUGACACAUGGAGCGGACUGAUACUAAUCGAUCGAGGACUUAACCAA
rnacentral:rRNA from 1 species